AGUGAACGCUGGCGGUAGGCCUAACACAUGCAAGUCGAACGGCAGCACAGUAAGAGCUUGCUCUUACGGGUGGCGAGUGGCGGACGGGUGAGGAAUACAUCGGAAUCUACUUUUUCGUGGGGGAUAACGUAGGGAAACUUACGCUAAUACCGCAUACGACCUACGGGUGAAAGCAGGGGAUCUUCGGACCUUGCGCGAUUGAAUGAGCCGAUGUCGGAUUAGCUAGUUGGCGGGGUAAGGGCCCACCAAGGCGACGAUCCGUAGCUGGUCUGAGAGGAUGAUCCGCCACACUGGAACUGAGACACGGUCCAGACUCCUACGGGAGGCAGCAGUGGGGAAUAUUGGACAAUGGGCGCAAGCCUGAUCCAGCCAUACCGCGUGGGUGAAGAAGGCCUUCGGGUUGUAAAGCCCUUUUGUUGGGAAAGAAAAGCAGCAGGUUAAUACCCCGCUGUUCUGACGGUACCCAAAGAAUAAGCACCGGCUAACUUCGUG
rnacentral:rRNA from 1 species